rnacentral:lncRNA from 1 species
UAUAAGUAGGGAAGGCAAACGAGUGGAUAAGGUUGGAGGGGGCAAUGUAUACGUGGCGAUGAACUAGAGGUGGGUUGGUCGGACCCUGCUCGCUUUUUGCCUUUUCAACGCUCCCAACCCGAACGUCGUUGUCUUCAAGUUUUGUUUCCCUCCCCCGCCACGCGCUUUCAGGGAGCGGUGUGGAAGGCAACCAGGUCGGGGAGCGCUGUAAAAAUCUACCCCUCUUCUUCCUUUAUGAUAAUUAGAUUAGUUUUGUCUUGAACCCGUCUUGACAACGCG